AACGAACGCUGGCGGCAUGCCUAACACAUGCAAGUCGAACGAGACCUUCGGGUCUAGUGGCGCACGGGUGCGUAACGCGUGGGAAAUCUGCCCUUGGGUUCGGAAUAACUCGCCGAAAGGCGUGCUAAUACCGGAUGAUGUCGUAAGACCAAAGAUUUAUCGCCCAGGGAUGAGCCCGCGUAAGAUUAGGUAGUUGGUGAGGUAAAGGCUCACCAAGCCGACGAUCUUUAGCUGGUCUGAGAGGGUGAUCAGCCACACUGGGACUGAGACACGGCCCAG
rnacentral:rRNA from 1 species